rnacentral:tRNA from 1 species
UGCGGGGGUUGCUGAGCUAGGAAAAGGCACAGGGCUUAGGACCCUGUCUCGUAGGAGUCCGCGUGUUCAAAUCACGCCCCCCGCAU